rnacentral:rRNA from 1 species
UGGGGAAUUUUGGACAAUGGGCGAAAGCCUGAUCCAGCAAUGCCGCGUGUGUGAAGAAGGCCUUCGGGUUGUAAAGCACUUUUGUCCGGAAAGAAAUGGCUCUGGUUAAUACCUGGGGUCGAUGACGGUACCGGAAGAAUAAGGACCGGCUAACUACGUGCCAGCAGCCGCGGUAAUACGUAGGGUCCAAGCGUUAAUCGGAAUUACUGGGCGUAAAGCGUGCGCAGGCGGUUGUGCAAGACCGAUGUGAAAUCCCCGAGCUUAACUUGGGAAUUGCAUUGGUGACUGCACGGCUAGAGUGUGUCAGAGGGGGGUAGAAUUCCACGUGUAGCAGUGAAAUGCGUAGAGAUGUGGGGGAAUACCGAUGGCGAAGGCAGCCCCCUGGGAUAACACUGACGCUCAUGCACGAAAGCGUGGGGAGCAAACAGG